rnacentral:sRNA from 1 species
AAGAGUCGGGGUUGAGCCCCAGCUGAGCCGAGGGCUCGCACUCUUCUGGUCUCCCAGGCCCAACCCACCUGAAGGACGUUAACCUCUGCCUGCCUUCGCGGCUCUCAGCAGAACGUGUAACGCAUAGUUUCAAAUGAGAAACUUAAAAAGCGACGUAUCUAUGUUGAGUUCCUGAAGUUUUCUAAAUAAUUCCCCCAUAACACCAAACGUGAGGCAGUUUUCUCAUUCCUUCACGAAUUGGCAUGCCAUAGAGUCAGUAUUUUUCCAUUUGUGAUGGUUGAUCUUCCCAUCUCAAAUACACACCGCACGCUCUUUUUAAAUCAGAAAUUUGAAUUUGGUUGAGCCUGAUAUUUUCACGGUAAUUUGCUGACUUUGUAAGAUAAAAUGUGAAAAUUACUGAUUACAUUUGUAAACUUUAUAUACAUAUACACACAUACCUACAGGUCUGUCUCUUCGAGGCACCAAGCCUAUUUAUAUAAUGUAUCAUUUCAUAAUUUGGCAAUAAGCAAAAUUAGCGUUUCGAAAGAAGUUUAUAUUGUCG